rfam:Perkinsus marinus ATCC 50983 gcontig_1104296770100, whole genome shotgun sequence.
GACAGUGUGUCCGAGUGGUUAAGGAGGUGGACUUGAAAUCCCCUGGGCUCUGCCCGCGCAGGUUCGAUUCCUGCUGCUGUCG